rnacentral:rRNA from 1 species
UACGUAGGGUGCAAGCGUUGUCCGGAAUUAUUGGGCGUAAAGAGCUCGUAGGCGGUCUGUUGCGUCGGCUGUGAAAACCCGGGGCUCAACUCCGGGCCUGCAGCCGAUACGGGCAGACUAGAGUUCGGCAGGGGAGACUGGAAUUCCUGGUGUAGCGGUGAAAUGCGCAGAUAUCGGGAAGAACACCCGUGGCGAAGGCGGCUCUCUGGGACGGUACUGACGCUGAGACGCGAAAGCGUGGGGAGCGAACAGG